rnacentral:rRNA from 1 species
UAACUUAGUGGCGGACGGGUGAGUAACGCGUGGGGAACCUGCCCUGCACCGGGGGAUAACACCUGGAAACAGGUGCUAAUACCGCAUAAGCGCACGAGGCCGCAUGGCCAGGUGUGAAAAACUAAGGUGGUGCAGGAUGGACCCGCGUCUGAUUAGCUGGUUGGUAGGGUAACGGCCUACCAAGGCGACGAUCAGUAGCCGGCCUGAGAGGGUGAACGGCCACAUUGGGACUGAGACACGGCCCAAACUCCUACGGAAGGCAGCAG